UACGUAGGGUGCAAGCGUUGUCCGGAAUUAUUGGGCGUAAAGAGCUCGUAGGUGGCCUGUCGCGUCGGCUGUGAAAACUCGGGGCUCAACUCCGAGCUUGCAGUCGAUACGGGCAGGCUAGAGUUCGGCAGGGGAGACUGGAAUUCCUGGUGUAGCGGUGAAAUGCACAGAUAUCAGGAGGAACACCGGUGGCGAAGGCGGGUCUCUGGGCCGAUACUGACACUGAGGAGCGAAAGCGUGGGGAGCGAACAGG
rnacentral:rRNA from 1 species